rnacentral:lncRNA from 1 species
UGGACUGCAUCUGGUCUCUUGGUCGGCACAAGUCUUUUACUGUUCCGACCAGGUUCAGUGUGUUGAUGGAAGAUUGAGUUUGAAUGAACAUGGAUAUAUAAUUUGUGGGCAUAUUUUAUUACAAGCUUUCUUCGCAUUAUGAUCCUGAAUAGAAGUUAGAUUUACAUGAGAUUCACCGACCGCUAGUAGCGAGCACAUGAUAUUGUCAAGACCUUGAGACCUUGAAUCCUAGGGCCUUCAAAGUCUUCAAGAAACUAAUAGUUGG